GAUGAAGAACGCAGCGAAAUGCGAUAAGUAAUGUGAAUUGCAGAAUUCAGUGAAUCAUCGAAUCUUUGAACGCACAUUGCGCCCGCCAGUAUUCUGGCGGGCAUGCCUGUCUGAGCGUCAUUUCAACCCUCAUGCCCCUAGGGCGUGGUGUUGGGGAUCGGCCAAAGCCCGCGAGGGACGGCCGGCCCCUAAAUCUAGUGGCGGACCCGUCGUGGCCUCCUCUGCGAAGUAGUGAUAUUCCGCANCGNNNNNCGACGAGCCCCUGCCGUUAAACCCCCAACUUUCCAAGGUUGACCUCAGAUCAGGUAGGAAUACCCGCUGAACUUAAGCAUAUCAAUAAGCGGAGGA
rnacentral:misc_RNA from 1 species